CACCUCUCAGGGUCACCCCUGGAGAGUUUCCAGUACUCUACCAAUUUCGACUGUGGGAGGGAGAGUCAAGCAGAGGCAUAUCCAUUCCAUUCCUAGUUGGGACAGAGGCUAGCUAACGGAAGGCAAUCUGCUACAAGU
rfam:Ornithorhynchus anatinus chromosome 10, whole genome shotgun sequence.